CAGCAACCCUGAGAAGCUUUACAGCCCUAGACCCUAAAAGGUCAAAAGGCCGUCUUAUUCUCAAUAUACAUUACCCAAUCUGCUCCCGACAUUAAAUAAAACUCCAAAAAUUGGAAUCUGGCCCUCAAACCCCACAACAGGACUUAAUUAACCUCACCUUCAAGGUGUACAAUAAUUUAAAAAAGUUGCAAUUCCUUGCCUCCACUGUGAGACAAACCCCAGCCACAUCUCCAGCACACAAGAACUUCCAAACGCCUGAACCACAGCAGCCAGGCAUUCCUCCAGAACCUCCUCCCCCAGGAGCUUGCUACAAGUGCCAGAAAUCUGACCACCAGGCCAAGGAAUGCCUGCAGCCCAGGAUUCCUCCUAAGCUGUGUCCCAUCUGUGCAGGACCCCACUGGAAAUCAGACUGUUCGACUCACCUGGCAGCCACUCCCAGAGCCCCUGGAACUCUGGCCCAAGGCUCUCUGACUGACUCCUCGGCUUAGCAGCUGAAGACUGAUGCUGCCUGAUCACCUCAAAAGCCCUGUAGACCACCACAGACGCCGAGCUUCGAGUAACUCUCACAGUGGAAGUGCUGUGCUGCCUUCUGAAUUCUCCUACAAAAAGCAGUGGCCAGGUCGUAUGGUCCUUACAUUCCAGGAAAUUGUAAAGCUCUUCAAACUCUUCAAAUUAUAAAACUCUUCUCUUGAAGACAACCCCUUUUCUUGGCAAAGAGACCUGCUUUGGAGGGAACUCC
rnacentral:lncRNA from 1 species